UCCCCUUCCGUUAGCAAACAGUGACGAGGGCGGCAAACGGCGCUGGUCGCACCUGAAUCGAAAGAAUGAAAGCCACCAAACAGCCGGCGUUAACGUUAAGCCGAAGCGGCCGUUGCACGCUACGUCUUCUCCUACUAACGCUUUUGACAGUGACGUGCCUUUCUCCCUCCCCCUCUCCCUCGCUCCCUCCCUCUCUCUCUUCCUGUUUGCUACGUUCUCCCUUCUCAGCUCUCUCUCUCUCUCUCUGUCCCUGUCUGCGUCUCCGUACAGUUUCUGUCACGCCGCAGAUUAAGAGCAAGAAAGAGCGACUUCGAAAUCAGAAAGCGAAGCCUAUUUGGUUUCUAGGCUCCCGUCUUCAGAGAUCUUCAAGGUGGGAAUCGUCUACGUCUCGAAUAGAAUGUCAGGAGAGGAGGUAUUAGUUCAAGGCGAUGAGAGGGGCGGGAGUUUGGAGCCUGAGACCUCUGAGGAUGAGCGGCGAAAGUCUCAGUCCAGAUCUCUUAGGAGAAGAGCAAUGACUGCCUCGACGAGGCUCACUUAUAGUCUCCGGAAACGUAAUAACCGUGUAGCUGAUUAUCGAUACCCAUCAAUUUUGAUAGAGGAUGUUCGUGAUGCCAAUGAGGAAAAAGCUGUAAAUUCGUUUCGUCAGGUGCUACUGGAAAAAGAUCUGCUUCCAGCUUCCCACGACGAUUACCAUACAAUGCUAAGAUUUCUUAAGGCCAGAAAAUUUGACAUAGAUAAAACAGUCCAUAUGUGGGGAGAUAUGCUCAAUUGGAGGAAGGAAUAUGGAGUAGAUUCUAUUCUUCAGGAUUUCACAUAUGAUGAGUAUGAAGAGGUUCAGCAUUAUUAUCCUCAUGGUUAUCAUGGUGUAGAUAAAGGGGGCCGACCAGUUUAUAUUGAAAGACUUGGCAAAGUUGAGCCUAGCAAGUUGAUGAAUGUCACUACUGUAGAUCGAUUUUUAAAAUAUCAUGUUCAGGGAUUUGAGAGAAUGUUCGAAGAAAAAUUUCUAGCUUGUUCUAUUGCAGCCAAAAAGCACAUAGUAACAACAACAACGAUUCUGGAUGUGCAUGGCGUGAACUGGGUGACCUUCAGCAAAGUGGCACAUGAUCUUGUUAUGCGCAUGCAAAAAAUCGAUGGUGACAACUACCCUGAGACAUUACACCAGAUGUACAUUGUUAAUGCUGGUAGUGGGUUCAAGCUACUAUGGAAUACAGCAAAAAGCUUUCUUGAUCCAAGGACUACAGCAAAAAUACAUGUCUUAGGGACCAAGUUCCAGAGCAAAUUGCUAGAAGUUAUAGACUCAAGCCAGUUACCAGAAUUCCUUGGUGGAAGUUGUUCAUGCCCAAAUGAAGGAGGGUGUAUGAGAUCUGGCAAGGGACCGUGGAAUGAUCCUGACAUUAUGAAGCUAGUACAUGGGGGCGAAGCAUUAAAGCUGACAAAAAUCAGAAGUUCAAGUGACCAGGAAUUAGAUAUCAAGUCAAAUGCCAACAAGGUCACUCAUAAAUUAGUUAAAAGCACUAAAAUGUUGCAAACUGGAUCUGCAACUGCAUCAGAUGCAAGGUCUAGUACUUCAGUCUUCAUGCAGUCAAUUCCUCCUCUAGAAGAUAAAAGGAUGAGAGACCAUGCAUCUAUGUACAAACAAGUUGAGCCAGCCAGUACUGCCAGAGAAAUUGAAGAUGCUGGUUCAACUAGUGAUUCAAACAACAUUAAUUCCAGAAGAUCACUGAAGAAGCUAAUUCCUUAUGUUACAAGUAUAGUAAUUCAAAGCAUACUCAGAGUUUUAGCUUGUAUAUAUUUAGUACUUGUAGGCCUUGGCAAAUUUUUGGUCGUUCAGUUCACAGACAGCCAAUCGAGAAGCCUUAACAAAAUCCAGUCAACUGAAUUGAGAAGCUGUAACAAAACCCUGUCAACUGAAUCCAAGUCCGAGGAACUCUUGGUCUCUCAGGAAACAAGACAUCCACUUUGGCAGAGGUUGCAGAAUUUAGAAGCAGUAGUAACUGAGAUGGUCAACAAACCAACAACAAUUCCUCCUGAGAAAGAGGAUAUCCUUCGCGAGUCAUUGAACCGAAUAAAAUGUAUAGAAUAUGAUUUGCAAAAGACAAAAAAGGCACUUGUUGCAACUGCUUCGAAACAAGUUGAGCUUGCUGAGUGUUUGGAAGGCUUAAAGGAGGGUAAAUUCAAUGGGACAAACUCAUGUUGGUCCAAAAAUGCUAAAUCUUGUGCCCCCGGAAGAUGAGUUCCGUUCUUUGAGCCUCAGUUUGCUAAGAUAGCUAGUUCAUUGUGCUUGUUGAUUCUCUAAAGCUGAAUUGCUACCGCCUACCAGACCCAUACUUCUAUUGGCUUACAUAAAGGGAUUAAAAUUGUUUGAGAAAUAGGAAGAGUGGAGCAGAAACCCUCUGGCAGAGGAAGAAAAGGAAGCAGGGAGUUGUUUUUUACUUUGGAGUACUUUCUUUUCAGUACAUAUACCCGAUUGUGUGAGUGAACCACAGUUUUUUCUUUUAAUUUAUUUGUUUUGUAAAGAUUGUACAAAAAUAUGCUGAACUUGACAUGUAUUUAUAGUAAGCAGCAAUGCAGCAUAUAGAAUAUAUCUGAUAUAUUGUUGCAAAUAAAUUUUGAAUUUUACUGUA